AUCUCGUGUUCUAAAAGGGCGCUCAAUACAACCUUAGCCAUCAGACUGACUACACGGGACUUGAUCCACGAGCACAGGAUCGGCGUGUCACACGUGCUCACGGAUGACUGGGUCGCUGUGGAGCAGACAUCACGGCUGCAGGGUAAGUUCAAGGGGGCACAAGACGUCUACGUUUUGUCUCAAAGGCUGUGAGAACAACAGUAAAGGAAGUUUAAAGAAAGAAACUUUAGCAAUAUGAUGGUAGGACUUGUCAAUAAUGCCGUAUGCUUAAUAUUUCUAAAAGUGCAUUGUUCCAGGUAUCAUAAUAAUGCAAAUUAUUCAAUAACUAUUACUAUAAUAAAAAAUGCAGAUUAUCUUUUAGGGUCUUACAAGCCUGGAGUUUAUUAGUCUGAGAGGAAAACGGUAUAAUUUUACACAAAAUCUGCGCUCAACCGCAGAUGUUAAAAAGUAAAAACUCAUUUAUAUAUGUUCAAAUUGCAGGUGCACUCAUAUUUAGAUUAAAAAUAGGAACAUUAUAGAGGAAUUACAUACUUUAGAACAUAAAUGUUCAUAUUUUCUAAAUAUAUGUUGUCAUACCGACUUAAGCUGCAGAAAACUGAAGUUUUUAUUAAUAUAGACCUAUACAAAAAACUUGCAGCUACAAAUACAAAAGGGUUGUUGUUAAUUUAAAUAUCUGGAGUAUGCUCUAUUCCUCAUUACAAUAGUAAUUCAAUCUAUGCAUUUCAAGAAUAUGCCAGUCAAACCGAGAAGAAAGAAAGAAAGAAAGAAAGAAAGAAAGAAAGAAAGAAA